UUUUUAUUAAUAAAAGACAACCGGAGCCUUUCAGAAGGUUAGGCUUAAGGGUCCAUUAUUUAAGUGCCAUUGCCUGUGAUGAGUCUUUGAGUAAUAGGAGUGCUAAGUGCAUACUGGGCAGGACGACCCGGGUGAGUCGAACAUGCAGAAAAGAUUCAACACACAGCCCUUUCUGACCUCACAGUGACUUUGCACUAAGUGCAAAUCAAUCUUCCCGAGGCAAUUUCCUGUUGCCAGGACAGAGCUGUCUCCCCUCUUCUCGCCCUCCUGCUGCUGUGCUCCUGCUUCAUGCUGGCUCCGACAAAGGGAUGGUACAGUCAAGAUGACCUAGCUGUAACCUGGCUACUAGAGGACCAAGGAGAAAAAUAAACUUCUACCACGCUUUCGAAAACAAGCACUCAAACUCAGGAGAUACUUGAUUGAAGUUGAAAGAGUGGUGCAUUCCCCAAGGCAGUACCCUCAUGAAUGGGAUUAGUGUCCUUUAAUAAAAGAGACCCAAGAGAGGUCCCUUGCUCCUUCCAGCAUGUGAGAUUACAGCAAAAAGAUGCUGUCUAUGAACCAGAAAGUGGGCCCUCACCAGACACUGAAUCUGUCGGCACCUUGAUCUUGGAUUUCCCAGCUUCCAGAAGUGGGAGAAAUAAAUUUCUCUUGUAAAUAAGAUAAACAGUUUAUGAUAUUUUAUUAUAGCAGCCCCAAGGGACUAAGACAGAAAUCCAGUUGUACACCAGAUGGUUGUAACACGUUCAGUGGAAUGAAAACCUUGUGUCUUGGCAGGGUGCAGUGGCUCAUGCCUGUAAUCCCAACGCUUUGGGAGGCUGAGGUGGGAGGGUCACUUGAGGCCAGGUGUUCAAGACCAGCCUGGGCAACAUAAGGAGAUGUCCAGAUAGCCGGCAAAACAGUGUUCCUGGGUAGGCCUGUGAUGGUGUUUCCAGAAGAAAUUAGUGCUGUGAGUCGGUAGAGUGAGUAAAAAAGAGUCUCUUAAAAAAAAUGUUGGCCGGGCACGGGGCUCACGCCUGUAAUCCUAGCACUUUACAAGGCUAAGGCAAGUGGAUCACUUGAGGUCAGGAGUUCGAGACCAGCCUGGCCAACAUGGUGAAACCCCAUCUCUACUAAAAAAUACAAAAAUUAGCUAGGAAUGGUGGUGUGUGCCUGUAGUCCCAGCUGCUCAGGAGGCUGAGGCAUGAGAAUCACUUGAACUCAGGAGGUGGAGGUUGCAGUGAGCCGAGAUCGUGCCACUGCACUCCAGCCUGGGUGUGGUGGUAUGCACCUGUAGUCCCAGCUACUCAGGAGGCUGAGGCAGGAAGAUCGCCUGAGCCCAGGAGAUUGAGGCUGCAGCACUCCAGCCUGGGCAACAGAGCAAGAUCUGGUUUCCAAAAAACCCAAAAAAACCUUGUGUCUUCAUGUGGAGAUUAAGUAUGGUUUAAGGAGAUGUGUAUGGAUGACAAGUUCAAAAAGGAUGGUCGUGUGAUGGUUAAUUUUAUGUGUCAGUUUGACUGAGCUAAGGGAUGUCCAGAUAGCUGGCAAAACAGUGUUCCUGGGUAGUCCUGUGAUGAUGUUUCCAGAACAAAUUAGCAUUGUGAGUUGGUAGAUUGAGUGAAAAAGAUCCUCCCAGGUGGAUCGCGAGGUCAGGAGAUCGAGACCAUCCUGGCUAACACGGUGAAACCCCAUCUCUACUAAAAAUACAAAAAAUUAGCUGGGCAUGGUGGCGGGUGCCUGUAGUCCCAGCUACUCAGGGGGCUGAGGCAGAAGAACGGCGUGAACCCGGGAGGCAGAGCUUGCAGUGAGCGGAGAUUGCACCACUGCACUCCAGCCUGGGCGAGAGAGUGAGACUCUGUCUCAGAAAAAAAAAAAAAAAUUAGAAAAAGAUCCUCCCUGUCAGUGGGUAUCAUCCACUGUUGAGUGGACAAAAGGUGGAAGAGGGGCGAAUCUGCUCUUUCUGGGCUGACAUCCAUUUUCUCUUGCCCUUGGAGGUCAGUGCUCCUAGCUCUUGCUUUUGGGCUUAGACUGGGACUUACAUCAUUGUGCCUCUGGUCCUCAGUCUUCAGAUUCAGACUGAAUUAUACCACCAGCUUUCCUGGUUUUUCAGCUUGCAGAUGGCAGAUCCUGGGACUUCUUGGCCUCCAUAACUGCAUGAGCCAAUUCCCAUAAUAAAUCUACACUUGAUCUUAGCCACAAGGCCGAGAAACGAUCAAUUCCUAUAAUAAAUCUCUCUUAUAAUAUCCUGUUGGUUCUGUUUCUCUGGAGAACCCUGACUAAUAUACCUUUUUUUUUUUUUUUUUUUUUUUUUUGAGACAGUCUUGCUCUGUUGCCCGGGCUAGAGCACAGUGGUGCCAUCACAGCUCACUGCAACCUCCAUCUCCCAGGUUCAAAUGAUUCUCCUGCCUCAGCGUCCCGAGUAGCUGGGAUUACAGGCACCUGCCACUAUGCCUGGCUAAUUUUUGUAUUUUUAGUACAAAUGGGGUUUCAUCAUGUUGGCCAGGCUGAUCUCGAACCCCUGACCUCAAGUGACCUGCCCGCCUCAGCCUCCCAAAAUGCUGCAAUUACAGGCAUGAGCCACCGCGCCCGGCCCUAAUACACCUUUUAACCUAAAAUUUCAGGACUUUCUUUACUUAGAAAAUUAUAUACACAUAUAUAGCUGUGAUUGUGCCACUGCAAUCCAGCCUGGGCGACAGAGUGAGCCCUUGUCUCAAAAGAAAAAAAAAGUUUGGUAUAUAAUCUUCCAAUCCCUUUCUAUGAAUUUAAAUGUUUAUUUUCUACCUAGUAAUCUUAUUUUUUUUAAUUCUUUAUUUCCUAGAUAAUGUUCAUUGAACCUUUUUGUAUUGAGAAAUUUUAAGGCACAUUUAAAAAAUAUAUUCUAACCAGGCACCGUGGCUAUCUUAGCACUUUAGGAGGCUGAGGCGGGUGAUCAGUUGAGGUCAGGAGUUCAAGACCGGCCUGAUGGUGAAAACCCUGUCUCUACAAAAAAUACAAAAAUUAGCCGGGCACAGUGGUGUGACCCUGUAAUCCCAGAUACUGGGGAGGCUGAGGCAUGAAAAUUGCUUGAACAUGGGAGACAGAGGUUGCAGUGAGCCAAGAUUGCACCACUGCACUCCAGCCUGGGCGACAGAGUGAGGCUCUGUCUCCAAAAAUAAUAAGAAGAAAGAGAGAGAGAGAGAAACAAACAAACAAACAGAGGCAAAAUUAAUAUAAGUAGCAUUUUUUGUUGUGGUUGUUGUUUUCUUCCUGAGACAGAGUUUUGCUCUUACGCCCAGGCUGAAGUGCAAUGGCCAUGAUCUCCGCUCACCACAACCUCCGCCCCCAGGGUUCAAGCGAUUCUCCUGCCUGAGCUGGAGAUUACAGGCACCCACCACCACCACGCCCAGCUAAUGUUGUAGUUUUAGUAGAGACAGGGUUUGGCUAUGUUGGACAGGCUGGUCUCGAACUCCUGACCUCAGGCGAUCCACCCACCUCGGCCUCCCAAAGUGCUAGGAUUAUAGGCCUGAGCCACUGCACCCAGCCCCGUUUUUUUUGUUUGUUUGUUUGUUUUUUUUUUUUUUUUAUUUUUAUUUUUUAUUUUUUAUUUUUUAUUUUUAUUGAUCAUUCUUGGGUGUUUCUCGCAGAGGGGGAUUUGGCAGGGUCAUAGGACAAUAGUGGAGGGAAGGUCAGCAGAUAAAC
rnacentral:lncRNA from 1 species